rnacentral:tRNA from 1 species
GGCCUUGAGGUGGUUCACAUUAGAUUGCAAACCUAGGGUUGUAGAUUAUAUUCUGCCGGGGCUU